GACGAACGCUGGCGGCGUGCUUAACACAUGCAAGUCGAACGGAAAGGCCCUGCUUUUGUGGGGUGCUCGAGUGGCGAACGGGUGAGUAACACGUGAGUAACCUGCCCUUGACUUUGGGAUAACUUCAGGAAACUGGGGCUAAUACCGGAUAGGAGCUCCUGCUGCAUGGUGGGGGUUGGAAAGUUUCGGCGGUUGGGGAUGGACUAGCGGGUUAUCAGCUUGUUGGUGGGGGAGUGGCUUACCAAGGCUUUGACGGGUAGCCGGCCUGGGAGGGUGACCGGCCACAUUGGGACUAAGAUACGGCCCAGACUCCUACGGGAGGCAGCAGUGGGGAAUAUUGCACAAUGGGCGGAAGCCUGAUGCAGCAACGCCGCGUGCGGGAUGACGGCCUUCGGGUUGUAAACCGCUUUCGCCUGUGACGAAGCGUGAGUGACGGUAAUGGGUAAAGAAGCACCGGCUAACUACGUG
rnacentral:rRNA from 1 species